AUUUCUAAAAAUAGAAAUGUAUUAUUCUUUUUGGGACAGACUAAAAAGGAAAGUGUCUCGCAUAAAUUGGGAUAGAAGGAGUAUGACUCAACACAUUUAACCUUCAAUUAAUUGAAAUGUAUGUUUUUGGUCUCUUUUAUGUAGGAAAUAUGUUAUAUUUGAACUACUUUUAGAACUAUAUUGUCCGUAAAUAUGGAGUAACAAUAUAAGUUUUACAUAACACAUUGAUAUUUAAACAACGGAAGGGUAAAUAUACUAAAAAAUUGUGAAUAUUCAUAAGCAAAACAAUCAAAAGUGCAGAUUUCAGAGUGAAGGUUAAAUGUGCUUAGUCAAAUAGUACAAGGACUAGAAUUACAAUUUACGUAUAACUGAGGGACCAAAAGCGCUAUUAACCCUUUGUUGAAUGUAGUUUCCGACUGAUUUUUGGUACUGAUAUAUCUGUUUAUUUGUUUGAAAUGUGCUGACGUGUAGAAAAGACUCCUUCUUUGGUCUAGGUUAGUUCAGUGAAAGAAAUAACAUCAAUCAACUGCCUUAAUGCCAGACUAGUUGGGGUGGAUGAUAUGAAAUUGUCUAUAUGAGCCCCUUUUUCAUUUAAUCAGUUUCUAUGAAAUGUUUACAUGCAUUAUAGUUCUGAAAGUUUGGGCCUUUAUCAAGCAUAUGUUGGAACUUUUUAGGAAGCGUGAUCAUUGACCUAUCAUCUUGCUUAGUUGUAUUGUUAACUUCCAAAGCUGUUUGCUUUCCGAGAUUGUUUUGGGUUUAGGGUUUAGCAAUUUUGUUGAAUGUAGCUUCCUACUGCUAUUUGUUCCUGAUUAAUCAGCUUAUUUGUUUGAAUGUGCUGUUAGUGUAGAAAAGACUCCAUCUACGGUCUAGGUUAGUUCAGUGAAAGAAAUAAUCAAUCAAUGGCCUUAAUGCCAAACUAGUAGGGGACGGUGAUAUGAAUUGUAUGUAUUUGCCCUGUUUGCAUCCAAGGGUGUGGCCUAACGGAAGCAUGUAGAGAAUCAUGAGGUUUCAAGUCGCAAAAAACACUAGGUGAUUUCUUUUAAUUUGCCUAUGCUUUGGUGGAUAGAGUUACCCAGUACCUGUGCUGGUGGGAGGCAGCUGGUACCUGGUGGAAUAAUCGAGGUGUGCACAAGCUAGCCUGGACACCACCGUCUGAAAAGAAAAAAAAACUGAAAAUGUCCCGUUUUCUUUUUAUCUGUCUAUGUAAUUUUCUUAAAAUACUUUUUUAAGUACAGUAGACAUCUGUCAUGUUCCUUUAGUCUGAAAUGUUUCCUCGCAAUUUAGUUCUCAAUGUUUUGGGCCUUUGCCAAGCAUAUGUUGGAACUUUUGUAGGAAGCAUGAUCACUGAGCUCAUAUCUUGCUAACUAAUGUAACAUCAAAGUGUGUCAAUAAUGGCAUAUAUCAUAGCAGUUAGUUAAGUCAGACCUGCUGCUUGUUAUGACUUAAAAGGAUGUGGAGUAGAAUGCUAGUCUUGUGUAAAAGG